rnacentral:rRNA from 1 species
GAUGAACGCUGGCGGUAUGCUUAACACAUGCAAGUCGAACGGACUCUUCGGAGUUAGUGGCGGACGGGUGAGUAACGCGUGAGAAUCUGGCUUUGGGUUCGGGACAACCACUGGAAACGGUGGCUAAUACCGGAUGUGCCGAGAGGUAAAAGAGAAAUUGCCUGAAGAUGAGCUCGCGUCUGAUUAGCUAGUUGGUGAGGUAAAGGCUCACCAAGGCAGCGAUCAGUAGCUGGUCUGAGAGGAUGACCAGCCACACUGGGACUGAGGCACGGCCCAGACUCCUACGGGAGGCAGCAGUGGGGAAUUGUCCGCAAUGGGCGAAAGCCUGACGGAGCAAUACCGCGUGAGGGAAGAAGGCUCUUGGGUUGUAAACCUCUUUUCUUAGGGAAGAACAAAAUGACGGUACCUAAGGAAUCAGCAUCGGCUAACUCCGUG